ensembl:snRNA U1 U1 spliceosomal RNA
UUCACCCAGGGCGAGGCUCAGUCAUUGCACUGCGACUGUGCUGAACACUGCGAAUUCCCCAAAUGUGGAAAUCUCGACUGCAUAAUUUGUGGUAGUGGAGGACUGCGUUCGCGCUCUCCCCUG